GUGAAUGCUGUACCCCAGUGCCCACAGAAGAGGAAUGCCUCUGUUGCAAGGAAUGGGACCGGUUGCAGCCUUAGCUAAAUGGUAAACAACAAACAUGGCACCACAUCGGUAAGCAUGUGACCUCCCCUCGGGCUGAUGACGGAGGGAUGCUGGAAAAACCUGCAGCGCUCACCAAACCAGUGGCCGGUCUGCCCUGAGAGGAUUUAGAGGGAAAAACACAGCAGCUCUGGGACACAUAUUAUAUUCCCACUGGCCUUUCACAGCGAGGAGGGAUGUGAUUGGAGCUGUCAGAGACAAAAAUGAUUGUGAAACAUUAUGUGGAAGAAAAAGCCUGGCAGCGUGAUGCGGCUGCAAAUGUGACGGGGAAACAAUUCGGAGAAUAAUUGUGGCGCUUGUGCGGAUGGAAAAGCUGCCAUCAAACUAAACCUAUCACAGAAUUUUUUUUUUUUUUAACUGAAGAAUAAAUG